CUCAGGGCUGGGCAGCGCUGCCCCACAGCAUAAGAGGCAGGCCAGGCCAGGGCAGCAGCGGGCACUGCAUGGACCUCUAAGCAAGUGCACACCUGCUUACUGUACUCGAUCUUGCCCCUGAUACCCAGAAGGUCUAAAUUUAGGAACAAGUCAGGGGAGGGAGGAGUUUUUCACACUUUGCACUCGAGCACAAAGUGCUUUGGAAUGUUUAUAUUUGGGUGGAUGCUGUCACUAAGAGUAGGAUAUUAUUUAGAAGCUGAGUUGUGGGCUGAACAAAUGUUUCUUUAAAAACCAAAGCAGUAAGAGGAGAUCUGUUCAAGAGUCACCGUGUAGCUGAAUAGUAGGCGAUAAGAUAAGUGAUCUGAACUGGCGAAACCCUGGGCCGCUGACGAGAAGCAUGUGAAAUUAACCACUCGGCCAUGGGACUGGCCCCAAAAGAACUCUUUUUUUAAAGGUGACUGUUGUCUCCAGUCAAAGAACCACAAGGACAGAAAUGAAUCGCCUUAGCAGAAAGCUAAUGAAGACACUCCAAGUGACAGAAGAUCAAGAAGAGCACAGACUUAAAGUCAGAAGAAAAUUUCCUCUCGUUGCCCUGUUUCUCCCUUAAUGCCUCACAAAUACAGCCUCCUACUUCUAGAGCAAUGUCUUAAGCUUUUUUCCCCCCAAGUUGUAACAUCCUUUAUUGUGGGGUCUUGUCCUAAAGUCUUAUGCUUUGGUACGAGAUGAAGAAAGAUGAAGAAAUAAUGAAGGAAACAAAUUCAAUGUGUUUGCCAAGAACACAUUUCUUUUAAACAACUCCUAAAGGGAUAAUCUAAAACAAUGUAAUAGAUUGUCUUAAUCUAUUCCGCAUAGCUAGUGGGAGUAUAGAAGUGUAUUGCUAACAUUUCAACAUCCAGCAGUAGAGGGCAGGACUGCCCUUCUUUUGCAAAAUGUUUGCGCUCUCAUGAGAAG
rnacentral:lncRNA from 1 species